CUCAAGAAGUCAAAUCUCGAGAAGCGGUUCUCGGCAAUUUGGCCCAAUAGAACUAUAGAAGUCUUCUUGAUUAUCAAGUCAUGUCAAGUAACCUAUUUAAUAAAUUUAUACAAUUGAUAAAACACGACAAGUUUUCUUCACAAUAAUCUAUUUAAAGGAAUAUGUAAAGCUGUCGUCACGCCUGUACGCCAAAGUCCUUAAAAUCUCGAGAAAAAGACUUAACAAUUUGCUACGGUUGUAUUUACAAACGGUGUACGUGUAAAUGUGCCGUAUAAUGGUCGAAUUUAGUGUCAUGUUGAACUUGGUAUACAAGGUAAGCUAGUUACCAUCACGCCUGAAUCGAGCAUGGUCUUACAGAAGCG